CUAUGUUUUCUAUGUGAGAAAAACUAUUUCAGCAGACGUAAUUUUCACUGAGCAUGAAGUAAAUUUUACGGAUUAUUUUCAAAGAGAAUGUUAAGUGUUGUUUUUAUGUUUGGAAUUAACUUAUUUGGCAGUAAAGCUUAAAGGACCAAGCCAGGCAGUGUGGUGUCCGCACGAAGUGCGUGCGUUCCUGAAUACUAUGCUGAGGUGCAAACUUCUCGAAAUAAGACCAAAGCAGACAAGGCGAUUUUCCAAAGACGCAUCCUUUCAAGAUUUGGACAUUUACCAAUAAAACCCGGAUUCCGGAAACGUCAUGAAACAAGUACUUUUUCAUUUGAAGACAGAUGGGUGUUAUUUCUGGUCACACAAUCUAUAUAUAUAAGGAGACAGCACUCAACAGAGUUGGCAGGCAACAUGGACGGACGAAAAAGAAGGUGCACAAGGGAGCGGCGUGUAUUGGCAUUGUUUGGAUGCCUGAUGAUGUCAGACAAAGACGCAUUUUUUGUUAUUGGAAAUCCAGGAGAACAAGAAUACACAUUGUCUCUGAAAGAAUGUACGAACGGAUGCACUGUCGAUGGACAUUGUUUUAUUGCUACCUAUGAUUACGAUUGUAGGGUUUAAGUUCAUUACAUAAAUUACUUGUACAGUGAACGUUUUAGAAAAUCGGAGAUUUAAAAAUAUUGUUGUCUUCCUUUAACUACAAAAAUGGAAGUAGUUUCGUGUAAGCUUACUUGUAUCACGCAAACUUAUUGGUAUCAUGUUAAAUGAUAAAAGCCUUUUGUAUUCUGUAUUAUGUGUAUAUAUAUCAAAUUGGCAAUGAGUAUGAGUUAUAGCGUCAUAUUCAAAAUACAUUUCAUACAACACACCACACUUUACUUAUACAUAUUGAUAUAUUUCAUUCAUGCGUUUUCAACAUCUGCCGACAAUGACCACCAGUUUUGUCUACCGUUUCACAAUUUCCAUAACGCUUUUUCACUUUUCCUCAUUGGUAUAUCAUUUUUUACACAUUGCUAUCAUGCUUAUACAUCUUCGUUUAUAGUUUUGUAUGCAAGUAUCCGGUAUAAACUUAGAUGGUUACAAAAUGUAUCAUACGAAA
rnacentral:lncRNA from 1 species